rnacentral:sRNA from 1 species
AUGUACCACUCGCCCACUCGUGCGCGAGCCCGGUCCGAUUCCUGCGCGCUGCGCGCACCCGCCUGGCAACCGCUCGCUACGCUUUGUUGGCC